rnacentral:rRNA from 1 species
GGGUUGUGAGGUUAAGCGACUAAGCGUACACGGUGGAUGCCCUGGCAGUCAGAGGCGAUGAAGGACGUGCUAAUCUGCGAUAAGCGUCGGUAAGGUGAUAUGAACCGUUAUAACCGGCGAUUUCCGAAUGGGGAAACCCAGUGUGUUUCGACACACUAUCAUUAACUGAAUCCAUAGGUUAAUGAGGCGAACCGGGGGAACUGAAACAUCUAAGUACCCCGAGGAAAAGAAAUCAACCGAGAUUCCCCCAGUAGCGGCGAGCGAACGGGGAGCAGCCCAGAGCCUGAAUCAGUGUGUGUGUUAGUGGAAGCGUCUGGAAAGGCGCGCGAUACAGGGUGACAGCCCCGUACACAAAAAUGCACAUGCUGUGAGCUCGAUGAGUAGGGCGGGACACGUGGUAUCCUGUCUGAAUAUGGGGGGACCAUCCUCCAAGGCUAAAUACUCCUGACUGACCGAUAGUGAACCAGUACCGUGAGGGAAAGGCGAAAAGAACCCCGGCGAGGGGAGUGAAAAAGAACCUGAAACCGUGUACGUACAAGCAGUGGGAGCACAGAGCAAUCUGUGUGACUGCGUACCUUUUGUAUAAUGGGUCAGCGACUUAUAUUCUGUAGCAAGGUUAACCGAAUAGGGGAGCCGAAGGGAAACCGAGUCUUAACUGGGCGUUAAGUUGCAGGGUAUAGACCCGAAACCCGGUGAUCUAGCCAUGGGCAGGUUGAAGGUUGGGUAACACUAACUGGAGGACCGAACCGACUAAUGUUGAAAAAUUAGCGGAUGACUUGUGGCUGGGGGUGAAAGGCCAAUCAAACCGGGAGAUAGCUGGUUCUCCCCGAAAGCUAUUUAGGUAGCGCCUCGUGAAUUCAUCUCCGGGGGUAGAGCACUGUUUCGGCAAGGGGGUCAUCCCGACUUACCAACCCGAUGCAAACUGCGAAUACCGGAGAAUGUUAUCACGGGAGACACACGGCGGGUGCUAACGUCCGUCGUGAAGAGGGAAACAACCCAGACCGCCAGCUAAGGUCCCAAAGUCAUGGUUAAGUGGGAAACGAUGUGGGAAGGCCCAGACAGCCAGGAUGUUGGCUUAGAAGCAGCCAUCAUUUAAAGAAAGCGUAAUAGCUCACUGGUCGAGUCGGCCUGCGCGGAAGAUGUAACGGGGCUAAACCAUGCACCGAAGCUGCGGCAGCGACGCUUAUGCGUUGUUGGGUAGGGGAGCGUUCUGUAAGCCUGUGAAGGUGUGCUGUGAGGCAUGCUGGAGGUAUCAGAAGUGCGAAUGCUGACAUAAGUAACGAUAAAGCGGGUGAAAAGCCCGCUCGCCGGAAGACCAAGGGUUCCUGUCCAACGUUAAUCGGGGCAGGGUGAGUCGACCCCUAAGGCGAGGCCGAAAGGCGUAGUCGAUGGGAAACAGGUUAAUAUUCCUGUACUUGGUGUUACUGCGAAGGGGGGACGGAGAAGGCUAUGUUGGCCGGGCGACGGUUGUCCCGGUUUAAGCGUGUAGGCUGGUUUUCCAGGCAAAUCCGGAAAAUCAAGGCUGAGGCGUGAUGACGAGGCACUACGGUGCUGAAGCAACAAAUGCCCUGCUUCCAGGAAAAGCCUCUAAGCAUCAGGUAACAUCAAAUCGUACCCCAAACCGACACAGGUGGUCAGGUAGAGAAUACCAAGGCGCUUGAGAGAACUCGGGUGAAGGAACUAGGCAAAAUGGUGCCGUAACUUCGGGAGAAGGCACGCUGAUAUGUAGGUGAAGUCCCUCGCGGAUGGAGCUGAAAUCAGUCGAAGAUACCAGCUGGCUGCAACUGUUUAUUAAAAACACAGCACUGUGCAAACACGAAAGUGGACGUAUACGGUGUGACGCCUGCCCGGUGCCGGAAGGUUAAUUGAUGGGGUUAGCGGUAACGCGAAGCUCUUGAUCGAAGCCCCGGUAAACGGCGGCCGUAACUAUAACGGUCCUAAGGUAGCGAAAUUCCUUGUCGGGUAAGUUCCGACCUGCACGAAUGGCGUAAUGAUGGCCAGGCUGUCUCCACCCGAGACUCAGUGAAAUUGAACUCGCUGUGAAGAUGCAGUGUACCCGCGGCAAGACGGAAAGACCCCGUGAACCUUUACUAUAGCUUGACACUGAACAUUGAGCCUUGAUGUGUAGGAUAGGUGGGAGGCUUUGAAGUGUGGACGCCAGUCUGCAUGGAGCCGGCCUUGAAAUACCACCCUUUAAUGUUUGAUGUUCUAACGUUGGCCCCUGAUCGGGGUUGCGGACAGUGUCUGGUGGGUAGUUUGACUGGGGCGGUCUCCUCCUAAAGAGUAACGGAGGAGCACGAAGGUUGGCUAAUCCUGGUCGGACAUCAGGAGGUUAGUGCAAUGGCAUAAGCCAGCUUGACUGCGAGCGUGACGGCGCGAGCAGGUGCGAAAGCAGGUCAUAGUGAUCCGGUGGUUCUGAAUGGAAGGGCCAUCGCUCAACGGAUAAAAGGUACUCCGGGGAUAACAGGCUGAUACCGCCCAAGAGUUCAUAUCGACGGCGGUGUUUGGCACCUCGAUGUCGGCUCAUCACAUCCUGGGGCUGAAGUAGGUCCCAAGGGUAUGGCUGUUCGCCAUUUAAAGUGGUACGCGAGCUGGGUUUAGAACGUCGUGAGACAGUUCGGUCCCUAUCUGCCGUGGGCGCUGGAGAACUGAGGGGGGCUGCUCCUAGUACGAGAGGACCGGAGUGGACGCAUCACUGGUGUUCGGGUUGUCAUGCCAAUGGCACUGCCCGGUAGCUAAAUGCGGAAGAGAUAAGUGCUGAAAGCAUCUAAGCACGAAACUUGCCCCGAGAUGAGUUCUCCCUGACUCCUUGAGAGUCCUGAAGGAACGUUGAAGACGACGACGUUGAUAGGCCGGGUGUGUAAGCGCAGCGAUGCGUUGAGCUAACCGGUACUAAUGAACCGUGAGGCUUAACCUUACAACGCCGAAGCUGUU